GUGAGUAACACGUAGAUAAUCUGCCUUUGGAUUGGGGAUAGCAUAUGGAAACAUGUGGUAAUACCGAAUAAGCUCCUGACAACGCAAGUUGACUGGAGGAAAGGUGCUUAGGCACCGUCCGAAGAUGAGUCUGCGGUUCAUUAGCUAGUUGGUGGGGUAAAGGCCUACCAAGGCGACGAUGAAUAGCCGGCCUGAGAGGGUGGACGGCCACACUGGGACUGAGACACGGCCCAGACUCC
rnacentral:rRNA from 1 species